ACCCAGACUCCUACGGGAGGCAGCAGUGGGGGAUAUUGCACAAUGGGGGAAACCCUGAUGCAGCGAUGCCGCGUGAAUGAAGACGGCCUUCGGGUUGUAAAGUUCUGUCGCAGGGGACGAAAAUGACGGUACCUGAGUAAGAAGCUCCGGCUAAAUACGUGCCAGCAGCCGCGGUAAUACGUAUGGAGCAAGCGUUAUCCGGAUUUACUGGGCGUAAAGGGAGCGUAGGCGGCCUGCCAAGUCUGAUGUGAAAUACCGGGGCUCAACCCCGGGGCUGCAUUGGAAACUGGCAGGCUGGAGUGCCGGAGAGGCAGGCGGAAUUCCUAGUGUAGCGGUGAAAUGCGUAGAUAUUAGGAGGAACACCAGUGGCGAAGGCGGCCUGCUGGACGGUGACUGACGCUGAGGCUCGAAAGCGUGGGGAGCAAACAGGAUUAGAUACCCGCGUAAA
rnacentral:rRNA from 1 species